rnacentral:rRNA from 1 species
UACAGAGGUCCCGAGCGUUGUUCGGAUUCACUGGGCGUAAAGGGUGCGUAGGCGGUUCUGAAAGUCUGAUGUGAAAUCUCCAGGCCCAACCUGGAAACUGCAUUAGAAACUACAGGGCUAGAGGCUUGGAGGGGGAACUGGAAUUCUCGGUGUAGCAGUGAAAUGCGUAGAGAUCGAGAGGAACACCAGUGGCGAAGGCGAGUUCCUGGACAAGUCCUGACGCUGAGGCACGAAAGCCAGGGGGGCAAACAGG